UGUUAAUCAUCGCAACUGGCUUCCCGGGAAUCGCCUGAUGAAAAGCGGAUGCGUCUGGAAGCAGCACAACUUCAGAAAGCGAUAAAUGGCUGGGGCUCCAUCUACUGACAUUAUUUUGGACGAAAAUAAUAGAUUUAAAUGUAGUUCGUAUUUCCUUUUAAGUUCUUUGGCUUGUGCCGAGUGCGAAGAAAACUUCUGACAACGGCGAUUUCUGUUUAUGAUUGUAAGUACAAGUGAUGAUGUCU